rnacentral:rRNA from 1 species
AACGCUAGCUACAGGCUUAACACAUGCAAGUCGAGGGGCAGCAUGAACUUAGCUUGCUAAGUUUGAUGGCGACCGGCGCACGGGUGAGUAACGCGUAUCCAACCUUCCGUACACUCAGGAAUAGCCUUUCGAAAGAAAGAUUAAUACCUGAUGGUAUGAUGAGAUCGCAUGAAAUCAUCAUUAAAGAUUCAUCGGUGUACGAUGGGGAUGCGUUCCAUUAGAUAGUAGGCGGGGUAACGGCCCACCUAGUCGACGAUGGAUAGGGGUUCUGAGAGGAAGGUCCCCCACAUUGGAACUGAGACACGGUCCAAACUCCUACGGGAGGCAGCAGUGAGGAAUAUUGGUCAAUGGGCGCGAGCCUGAACCAGCCAAGUAGCGUGAAGGAUGAAGGUCCUACGGAUUGUAAACUUCUUUUAUAAGGGAAUAAAGUCACCCACGUGUGGGUGUUUGUAUGUACCUUAUGAAUAAGCAUCGGCUAACUCCGUGCCAGCAGCCGCGGUAAUACGGAGGAUGCGAGCGUUAUCCGGAUUUAUUGGGUUUAAAGGGAGCGUAGACGGGUCGUUAAGUCAGCUGUGAAAGUUUGAGGCUCAACCUUAAAAUUGCAGUUGAUACUGGCGUCCUUGAGUACGGUUGAGGCAGGCGGAAUUCGUGGUGUAGCGGUGAAAUGCUUAGAUAUCACGAAGAACUCCGAUUG